CAGCCAGCACGGUGCUGCCAUCCCGGCCCCGGGCUCGGCUCUGCUCUGCAGGGACACGGAUCGCUGGGGCAGGGCUGAAGUCACCGACACCGCAGGUAUUUCACACCACAGAGCCUGGCACGUCGGGACAUGGCUUCGCCGCGAGCAGGGACUGCGGGUUGACAGAUCUGAUGAUCUCAGAGGCCUUUCCCAAUCAGAAUGACUCCAGGAUUCAGUAAGCCCUCUGAUGAUGGUGGAGUUGAGUGCUCUCCAUGGACCGCUGAGUCCGGGGGGCUGGAAGUGGAAUGGGGAAGGAGAGAUUCUCUGGUUCAGCUGAGCCAGCACUGUCAGAAGCAGCUGAUGAGCCCCAGCAAGGAGAUCUCAGCUGUCCAAUACAGCUUAGACCUGAUUUUCAAAGGCACUUGCAGCAUCUUUGCUGAGAGUCAGUGACAAUUCAUUCACACUUCUGGUCUGAGGUCUUUCCAACACCAAAUGUCACUGGCAGAUGCUGUGUCAGUGCUGACAGUGAACCUGCCUUACCCGAGCCAUUCUCGUCUUUGCAGGAGACCUGUUCAGUUUUGCAGGAGUAGUUAUUACAUUGACCAAACGAGGCCCGUACACUCACAUUUACUGCCCUGGAAGGAGGCAGCAGCUCAGCAGGUUCUGGAAGAAUUGUACUAACUGGUGGGCAGAGGGAGCUUACCCUGCUGUUUUAAAAUGACUUAGCUUCUCCCCUUACUAGUUUUCAGGGCUUAGAAAUGUCAGUUAAAACAGUCAUAAAAUAUCGAGUUAUGCAUGCGAAAUCUGAGGGGAUUUGCAUGAAGGCUUAUGGCAAUCCAGCUGCAGUUUGCACAGCCUUUAAUUUGAAAGCUGCCUUGAUGGCUGGGGUAUCCUAGUGGAGAUGGUAUCUGUGGCCUUAAUGUCUUCAGAUUCCCUCAUCACUUCCUCGCUUUGAAGUGAGCAUCUCUGGAUUUUAGGGAAAUCACUUCAGGUCUGGCUUUAAAACAGAAUUUCUUUAACCCAAGUAUUUAAACAUGAAUCUGAACCUCAGUGUCUUCGUACAUCACUGCCCAGCUACAGUAGGGGAAAUUGUCACCUCAUUGCUCUGCAGCUGCUGCCCUGGAAGCUGAGAAGCUCUCGGAUGCUGUGCUGACAGAAGGGACACACAACAAGCUGCACAGCACAGCCAGGCUCAGGCAGAAACUUACCUAUACAUGGCCCUGACAUGGAUCCUCUGCUCUCACUGACAGCAUUCUCUGAGUCUCUGACUUUACAGCAAUUUCUGCACCUCCAGAUCAAUCAGGUACCCAGAGGAAAGAGAUUUAGUGACGUUUAAUACAAAGAAAUCGGAUGUGUCUGUGUAAAUGCUGUUUAGGUGCCCCCUGUGUGCCGUGGGAGGGUUUAAAUUCACGACAGUCUUUGUUGGGGGAGCACGAUUUAAAGCCAGACAUCAGUAAAUUGUUGUACUUACACACCUCUGUGCACCUCCAAGAUUGCAACAGAGUCAUUUCAACUGAGUGGCAACAAGCCAGGCAGCACAAAUGGCUGGAGCAUCAUCUGUACCCUUGUAUGGUUUGUGAAUCUCCUUCCCAGAGGGACAAACAGGGUUGGCCCAGGCACAGCAAGGGCUCACGAGCUCCGUGUGAAGUGAAACAUGAGGCUUUUCCAGCACAGACACACACAGCAGAUCAUAUUUGGGCUCUCGGGCUCGGGGUGGCUCUCGGGAGCAGGCAGAGCAGAGCUGACGUGCUGCACGGAGCUGUGCCUCUGCUGAGGGUGUUCAUUCCCCCAGAAGCCUCUCCCAGAAGGUUCUGACUUGGCACAGGCUUGGCUAAGUCAAGUAUCACUUAACAAUCUGAAACUGUAAACUGCAAGUGCUUUUAUACAGCCAAGCUCGGCUGCUUAAUGUGCAGUAGCUGUAGGGUCUGUCCAUAAAACACACACUCAAGCCAUGAGCGUGCUUUUCCUGCCCUCAUAAAGUACCUACAGAGACAUAUAUCCCCCGAGGAAUUUUGGAACCCACACAGAUACAGUAGUGACAUUGCUCCUCAAUGUACUUUUUCCUUGGUUCUUUGGCUGAUUCUCAAGCUGAAAUUUUCUCUUUUCAGUAGGCAGGGGUUUGUAAAAGGUCCAGAUUCUACUCUUUUAUAUAGCAGGAAUCUUACAUUGUGCCUUUAAAGCUUUGUCAUGAUGGCUCCUGGUAUGUUCCCAGUUAAAUCUGAAGUAAAACUCUCCCUACAUUCAGGCAGAGCAGGAUUAGGCCUUACAUUUAAGAUUCCAGACAUGAUAAAGUCUCACUAAUACAAGUACUUAAUCCUCAUUUCAAUUUAUAUUUCAAUAUUCAUACUGGCAUCUAGAGGUAUCUAUUCAAUGUGGAUAAAAUAAAUCAGGCAUGUGCCUGGUUUAGUUGCCACUGUUUUGCAGUGGUGCCAGAAAAAUCAGCCCAGAGAAAUCCACUGCACAUCUCCUUAUUUCCUGGCCUGCCACUGCUGCAACUGGAAUGCCAGGGUGAAUUUCUGUACUGCCAGCUGUGUGCCACAACAAAACCCAGGAAGAUUUUCAGGUGAGGUAAAUGCUGAACACAGGGCCAAAGCACAGCCUGUCCCCGAGCAGGCACAUCCCUGUUCAAUGGAUGUUUCAUUUGGCCCCCAAAUUAUUUUUACCAUUUUUAUUUUUAUUAUUUUUAUCUCCUAUUCCUACGCAGUCUAAAGCACUACACAGAAGAUCUUUUUUGGGCAGACAGCUUGCUGUGCACAAGCUUCUUCCUUUGAUUGCCAAAGCCCAACUGCUGCACGCAAAUAGAGUUCCAGCUAAUGGAUGGGGCAGAGAUUGCAGUUUAAUUUCUCUAAGUAAUUCAGGCUGAUCAACAGAGACGCCCUAGAAGAUCCAAGUGGGCAGGGAUAAUGAUCACACAUCCAUGGAAUGCUGUACCUGGAGGUCAGAGUUUAGAAAGGGAAAGGAUUUUAAACUGUUUCCAAAGCUCCAUAUGAACUGUGCUGAUAUAAUUUAAUUUUUUUGAUGUUUUCCUCGUUCCUCAUAGCCAAGCAGUGUGCUCAGAUCAGAGAUGCUGUGUGCAGUAACCUGUGUGUACCAACACUCAACAUUUUGUGUGAGGCAGGAGU